rnacentral:lncRNA from 1 species
AGACUUCUUCUAUUGAAACAUACACAAUUCUCAAUAAACAACAAUCAUAAUCUUCCAUCUAUAAACAAUCUCCCAUGAAAUCUAAUAACAAACUCCCAAUAUCUUCUCAUAAUAAUUCAAUCACACACUACUCCAAUUACAUACUUAAUAUCUUAUAAAUCAUUCUUUGAUUUAUUCUAUAGAUUCACUUUACAGUGAUCAAAACCUAAAAUAAUAAAAUAAACAAGAAACAAGAGAUAGCACCAAGCUUAUCUCGGCUCAUGACUAUCA